rnacentral:rRNA from 1 species
GCUCAACCGAGGAAGUGCUUCGAAAACUGGUAAACUUGAGUGCAGAAGAGGAAAGUGGAACUCCAUGUGUAGCGGUGGAAUGCGUAGAUAUAUGGAAGAACACCAGUGGCGAAGGCGGCUUUCUGGUCUGUAACUGACGCUGAUAUUCGAAAGCAUGGGUAGCAAACAGGAUUAGAUACCCUGGUAGUCCAUGCCGUAAACGAUGAGUGCUAAGUGUUGGAGGGUUUCCGCCCUUCAGUGCUGCAGCUAACGCAUUAAGCACUCCGCCUGGGGAGUACGAUCGCAAGAUUGAAACUCAAAGGAAUUGACGGGGGCCCGCACAAGCGGUGGAGCAUGUGGUUUAAUUCGAAGCAACGCGAAGAACCUUACCAGGUCUUGACAUACCAUGAAAAGCUUAGAGAUAAGUCUUUCCCUUCCGGGACAUGGAUACAGGUGGUGCAUGGUUGUCGUCAGCUCGUGUCGUGAGAUGUUGGGUUAAGUCCCGCAACGAGCGCAACCCUUAUUAUCAGUUGCCAGCAUUCAGUUGGGCACUCUGGUGAGACUGCCGGUGAUAACCGGAGGAAGGUGGGGACGACGUCAAAUCAUCAUGCCCCUUAUGACCUGUGCUACACACGUGCUACAAUGGUCGGUACAACG